rnacentral:rRNA from 1 species
CACGUAGGGGACGAGCGUUGUCCGGAUUCAUUGGGCGUAAAGCGCGCGUAGGCGGCUCGGAAAGUCGGUCGUGAAAUGCCGGGGCUCAACCCCGGGACUGCGUCCGAUACUUCCGGGCUGGAGGUAGGUAGGGGAGAUCGGAAUUCCUGGUGUAGCGGUGAAAUGCGCAGAUAUCGAGAGGAACACCAGUGGCGAAGGCGAGUCCCUGGACAGGUCCUGACGCUGAGGCACGAAAGCUAGGGGAGCAAACAGG